rnacentral:misc_RNA from 1 species
UCACCCAAGGGGAGUUUCUUGACUUGUUUUCGUUUUCUAUUACUGUUAUUCGACUGUUAUUAACAAACGCUUUCCAUUUCGUGAAAUAACACUUAUUUUUCUUCACGUUAAAUUGAAGGCACUUUGUAAGAGGUCUCCGCCUCCACGCGAUGCUCCCCCCGCCCCUACACAUAACAACUAAAUUGAGUUUAGACUAAAAGCAAGAUACGGUAUGGUAAUAUUAAUAUUAUCGUUAACUAGCAAUAAAAAUAAUACAUUAAAUGUAUCUGACCUGCACGCCUGGAAGCUGUCGCAACGAGAGAAAACGUAACGCGGUCGAUCGAUCGACUCCGAGGAAAACACGUGAACUCGAAGAAAUUGAACGUGGUAGUGCAUGCCGACAUUAGCUAUAAUCGUCGAAAUUAAAAAAAAAAAAAAAGAAAAAAUAAA